AAUCCCAUAUUAGUACCUUCCGUUCAAACACAAUGAAUGGAGGGCUAUGCUAAUGGGACAGAGCAACACUGUCAUGGUCUGAAGGUGUGGCUAGCUGAUGUGCGCCCCACUAAAUAAAAUGACAGAAUAUUCCAAA
ensembl:snoRNA